GUGGGGAAUCUUCCGCAAUGGACGAAAGUCUGACGGAGCAACGCCGCGUGAGUGAUGACGGUCUUCGGAUUGUAAAGCUCUGUUAAUCGGGACGAAAGAGCUCUGUGUGAAUAAUGCAGAGAAGUGACGGUACCGGAAUAGAAAGCCACGGCUAACUACGUGCCAGCAGCCGCGGUAAUACGUAGGUGGCAAGCGUUGUCCGGAAUUAUUGGGCGUAAAGCGCGCGCAGGCGGAUCUGCCAGUCUGUCUUAAAAGUUCGGGGCUUAACCCCGUGAUGGGAUGGAAACUACAGAUCUAGAGUAUCGGAGAGGAAAGUGGAAUUCCUAGUGUAGCGGUGAAAUGCGUAGAUAUUAGGAAGAACACCAGUGGCGAAGGCGACUUUCUGGACGAAAACUGACGCUGAGGCGCGAAAGCCAGGGGAGCGAACGGGAUUAGAAACCCCGGUAGUCC
rnacentral:rRNA from 1 species